rnacentral:rRNA from 1 species
UACGGAGGGUGCAAGCGUUAAUCGGAAUUACUGGGCGUAAAGCGCACGCAGGCGGUUUGUUAAGUCAGAUGUGAAAUCCCCGAGCUUAACGUGGGAAUUGCAUCUGAAACUGGUUAGCUUGAGUCUUGUAGAGGGGGGUAGAAUUCCAGGUGUAGCGGUGACAUGCGUAGAGAUGUGGAGGAAUACCGGUGGCGAAGGCGGCCCCCUGGACGAAGACUGACGCUCAGGUGCGAAAGCGUGGGGAGCAAACAGG